CCAAAUGAGUUUUUUUUUUUACAUUAAAUAUUAAAUAUUACUCAAAAUGCAGGGGCCUCCAAAGAUGUCAAGCCCCCCGGGCUCCCAAAUGAUGGAAAAUUCCUAGCUACGCCCCUGAUUUUGGUUAGACUUGAUUCUUAUGUAGUCAUGUCAAAUGUGUGUUUGUUUCUAUUUUCUUGAAUGCCUUUAUACAAGACACAAGUGCCUUACACUUUACAGCAUUACAAAAUAUCCUCAUUUUUU